GGGUUGUGAGGUUAAGCGACUAAGCGUACACGGUGGAUGCCCUGGCAGUCAGAGGCGAUGAAGGACGUGCUAAUCUGCGAAAAGCGCCGGCGAGGUGAUAUGAACCCUUGACCCGGCGAUGUCCGAAUGGGGAAACCCAGUGUGAUUCGUCACACUAUCGUUAACUGAAUACAUAGGUUAACGAGGCGAACCGGGGGAACUGAAACAUCUAAGUACCCCGAGGAAAAGAAAUCAACCGAGAUUCCCCCAGUAGCGGCGAGCGAACGGGGAGCAGCCCAGAGUCUGAAUCAGCUUGUGUGUUAGUGGAAGCGUCUGGAAAGUCGCACGGUACAGGGUGAAAGUCCCGUACACGAAAAUGCACAGGCUGUGAACUCGAAGAGUAGGGCGGGACACGUGGUAUCCUGUCUGAAUAUGGGGGGACCAUCCUCCAAGGCUAAAUACUCCUGACUGACCGAUAGUGAACCAGUACCGUGAGGGAAAGGCGAAAAGAACCCCGGCGAGGGGAGUGAAAAAGAACCUGAAACCGUGUACGUACAAGCAGUGGGAGCACCUUCGUGGUGUGACUGCGUACCUUUUGUAUAAUGGGUCAGCGACUUAUAUUCUGUAGCAAGGUUAACCGUAUAGGGGAGCCGAAGGGAAACCGAGUCUUAACUGGGCGUUAAGUUGCAGGGUAUAGACCCGAAACCCGGUGAUCUAGCCAUGGGCAGGUUGAAGGUUGGGUAACACUAACUGGAGGACCGAACCGACUAAUGUUGAAAAAUUAGCGGAUGACCUGUGGCUGGGGGUGAAAGGCCAAUCAAACCGGGAGAUAGCUGGUUCUCCCCGAAAGCUAUUUAGGUAGCGCCUCGUGAACUCAUCUUCGGGGGUAGAGCACUGUUUCGGCUAGGGGGCCAUCCCGGCUUACCAACCCGAUGCAAACUACGAAUACCGAAGAAUGUUAUCACGGGAGACACACGGCGGGUGCUAACGUCCGUCGUGAAGAGGGAAACAACCCAGACCGCCAGCUAAGGUCCCAAAGUCAUGGUUAAGUGGGAAACGAUGUGGGAAGGCCCAGACAGCCAGGAUGUUGGCUUAGAAGCAGCCAUCAUUUAAAGAAAGCGUAAUAGCUCACUGGUCGAGUCGGCCUGCGCGGAAGAUGUAACGGGGCUAAACCAUGCACCGAAGCUGCGGCAGCGACACUAUGUGUUGUUGGGUAGGGGAGCGUUCUGUAAGCCGUUGAAGGUGGCCUGUGAGGGUUGCUGGAGGUAUCAGAAGUGCGAAUGCUGACAUAAGUAACGAUAAAGCGGGUGAAAAGCCCGCUCGCCGGAAGACCAAGGGUUCCUGUCCAACGUUAAUCGGGGCAGGGUGAGUCGACCCCUAAGGCGAGGCCGAAAGGCGUAGUCGAUGGGAAACAGGUUAAUAUUCCUGUACUUGGUGUUACUGCGAAGGGGGGACGGAGAAGGCUAUGUUAGCCGGGCGACGGUUGUCCCGGUUUAAGCAUGUAGGCGGAGGUUCCAGGUAAAUCCGGUACCUUUUAACGCUGAGGUGUGAUGACGAGGCACUACGGUGCUGAAGUAACAAAUGCCCUGCUUCCAGGAAAAGCCUCUAAGCAUCAGGUAACACGAAAUCGUACCCCAAACCGACACAGGUGGUCAGGUAGAGAAUACCAAGGCGCUUGAGAGAACUCGGGUGAAGGAACUAGGCAAAAUGGUGCCGUAACUUCGGGAGAAGGCACGCUGAUAUGUAGGUGAAGCCCCUGCGGGUGGAGCUGAAAUCAGUCGAAGAUACCAGCUGGCUGCAACUGUUUAUUAAAAACACAGCACUGUGCAAACACGAAAGUGGACGUAUACGGUGUGACGCCUGCCCGGUGCCGGAAGGUUAAUUGAUGGGGUUAGCGGCAACGCGAAGCUCUUGAUCGAAGCCCCGGUAAACGGCGGCCGUAACUAUAACGGUCCUAAGGUAGCGAAAUUCCUUGUCGGGUAAGUUCCGACCUGCACGAAUGGCGUAAUGAUGGCCAGGCUGUCUCCACCCGAGACUCAGUGAAAUUGAACUCGCUGUGAAGAUGCAGUGUACCCGCGGCAAGACGGAAAGACCCCGUGAACCUUUACUAUAGCUUGACACUGAACACUGGUCCUUGAUGUGUAGGAUAGGUGGGAGGCUUUGAAGCGUGGACGCCAGUCUGCGUGGAGCCGUCCUUGAAAUACCACCCUUUAAUGGCUGGUGUUCUAACGUAGACCCGUAAUCCGGGUUGCGGACAGUGUCUGGUGGGUAGUUUGACUGGGGCGGUCUCCUCCCAAAGAGUAACGGAGGAGCACGAAGGUUAGCUAAUCCUGGUCGGACAUCAGGAGGUUAGUGCAAUGGCAUAAGCUAGCUUGACUGCGAGAGUGACGGCUCGAGCAGGUGCGAAAGCAGGUCAUAGUGAUCCGGUGGUUCUGAAUGGAAGGGCCAUCGCUCAACGGAUAAAAGGUACUCCGGGGAUAACAGGCUGAUACCGCCCAAGAGUUCAUAUCGACGGCGGUGUUUGGCACCUCGAUGUCGGCUCAUCACAUCCUGGGGCUGAAGUAGGUCCCAAGGGUAUGGCUGUUCGCCAUUUAAAGUGGUACGCGAGCUGGGUUUAGAACGUCGUGAGACAGUUCGGUCCCUAUCUGCCGUGGGCGCUGGAGAAUUGAGGGGGGCUGCUCCUAGUACGAGAGGACCGGAGUGGACGCAUCACUGGUGUUCGGGUUGUCAUGCCAAUGGCACUGCCCGGUAGCUAAAUGCGGAAGAGAUAAGUGCUGAAAGCAUCUAAGCACGAAACUUGCCCCGAGAUGAGUUCUCCCUGA
rnacentral:rRNA from 1 species